UUUGUACAGUUUAAUAUUGCCUUGCAAAGUACUUGCUGGUCAAAGAUAACCAUCAAGGGGGACUGUGGGAAACCAAUCACCUUGUCAGGCACCUCUACAAUAU